rnacentral:rRNA from 1 species
UACGAGGGGGGCAAGCGUUUGUUCGGAAUUAUUGGGCGUAAAGGGUGCGUAGGCGGUUUGGUAAGUCUUAUGUGAAAUCUACAGGCUCAACUUGUAGUCUGCAUGAGAAACUGCCGGGCUUGAGUAUGGGAGAGGUGAGUGGAAUUCCUGGUGUAGCGGUGAAAUGCGUAGAUAUCAGGAGGAACACCAGUGGCGAAGGCGGCUCACUGGACCGGUUCUGACGCUGAGGCGCGAAAGCGUGGGGAGCAAACGGG